rnacentral:SRP_RNA from 1 species
AUAUUAUAUAUGCACAACAUUUAUGUUUGAAUCUGGUCAGAGUCGGAAGACAGCAGCCAUAAGAUCCUCUAAAUGUGUGUGCUUUUUUUGUAGGUGAUU